UACAGAGGUCCCAAGCGUUGUUCGGAUUCACUGGGCGUAAAGGGUGCGUAGGUGGUCGGGUAAGUCUGAUGUGAAAGCUCUGGGCUCAACCCAGAAAUGGCAUUGGAUACUAUCUGGCUAGAGGAAUGGAGGGGGGACUGGAAUACUUGGUGUAGCAGUGAAAUGCGUAGAUAUCAAGUGGAACACCAGUGGCGAAGGCGAGUCCCCUGGACAUUUCCUGACACUGAGGCACGAAAGCUAGGGGAGCAAACAGG
rnacentral:rRNA from 1 species